rnacentral:rRNA from 1 species
AUGGAUAGAUUUUGGGGAGGAUUAAACCAUAAUAUUCAGGAGAUACUACUUCAUGAAGAGUGUUAUCCUAUGGACCAUUUGUUUCGUCUUGCUUGCAAAGCUGAACAGGAAAUAAAACGACGUGUUGCCCACAAGGAGAACAAGCGCACGAUGCAUAUUCCAACUGUUGACACAGAUGUUUAUUCAACUACUAGGCGUACUAUGACAACCACAUCCGUUGUUGCGAGGACUACAUCAUCUCCACCAUGUGACACAUCACCAUCGAGAGUGCCUGCAUCAUCUGAGUUGACUAUAAGAGGUAAUGACAAAGGUACAGAUUUUCCACUUUUACAUGAGAAUGAUGCAUGCCUAGUUAACUUGAAUACAUCAUGUGUUGAGCUACCCACUACUUUGAUCACACCACCUAUUUUAGAGGAUUAUAUUGAUAAUUUGACUUUGCCAUGUGAUCAAACAACUGAAAUACCAACAAUUUUGAGAGCACCCAUUGAAUGA